GCCGUCGUAGGCCAUGGUGGCGCCCUCCAAAUUUGUGACUGGUGGCGGAGACAAUUAAUGAGGGAGGCGGGGGUUCGAUUCCUCCCGACGGCA